GCUAGCGUGGCAGAGACAGGUAAUUGCAAAAGCCCUAAGACCUUUUAAUCGGAGGUUCAACUCCUCCCACUAGCU
rnacentral:tRNA from 1 species